CGAAAACGGGUGCAAUGACAACAAGUGAAAGUAAAAUAUUUAAACCAGCAAAUCCAUUGACAACCAUUCAGCCGGGGGAAGCAAACAAGAAAGUAUGAGCAUACUGGCUCUAAAAGGAGUCUCUCUGGGGAGAAAGCGGAGGCGGGCAGUGCCUACAAAGAAAUGUCACUCUGAUGGAAUUGACAUUUACAAUGAAGCUGGAAGGUGAGUUGUAUGUAUGGGACUGACACAGAUUCCAAACAGCAUAUCUAUCACAAAUAUUGAUAUUAAUUGUAGAGCUCAGAAGUGAUAUUAUAUUAUAAGGCAGAAGUAGCCUGGGUACUAAUCUGUUUGUGCCAUCAUGUCACUCCUUGGCAUACAAGGAGUGGCAAGGAAUGGUGUAAUGGCACAAACAGAUUGGAACCCAGGCUAAGGCAGAAGAUAAUAUUGACCAAAGAUCUGUCUCUGUUGUGUUGAAACAAAAUCCAGCAGGAGAGACCAGUCUCACCUGUACCCAGCUGUCUGUCCAUGCAAACAGACAUGUCUAUUGAUCCUCCGUUUAACUUCAUGACAGAAAAUAUAUCUACUGAUCAAAAGCCUUUCUGGUUUGUGUUCUCUUGUUCUGCUCAUUUGUUUCUAAUCAAUAUUUUGAAGCAAACAGUAAAUCACCAACGUCCUGUAGUUUUAUGAGUUAUACAUUGAAUGUGCUUCUUUACGGGGCCCAGCAGCAGAGACCAGUUUUGUCCACAAACAGUGACCAGUCAAUGGGACAUCAAGAACAAUUCAGGCAUGGGAACACUGGGCAUACAUAAUAAUUUAUCACGGCCCCCUCUUUUAUCGUCUUUAUGUCUCCACAUUAAGGCAUGGAGUCAGGACUCCCUUAUGUUUGACCUUGGGUCUAAGUUCUCUGCUGACAGGAUCCAAGAGGAGAGAGCCAAUUCUCCUGGACCAAGCUUUGAGUCCUUUAAGAGUGACUGGUCAAUGGUUCAUCCGAAAAGACAAUUCGGGUAGGAAGGCAUUUCUACUGAUCAAAGAGACCAGCAAGAGAGAUCGGAGUCAGACAUUCCCUGUGGCCGGUCUACGGCAGACAUGUCCUCCAUAUUCAAGUUGGUUGAAGACCAAGUCAUCACAUUUGUAAAGAGUGAAUUAAAGAAGUUAAAGAAGAUUCAGAGUCCAGAUCAUCCAGAAUGCUCUAACAGUCAGGGGAAGGGUGGUGGUGUACAGUGAAGAUGAGAACCAGGAGAGCAGUGCCAGAGAGGGGGCUCUGAAGAUCACACUGCACAUCCUGAGGAACAUGAACCAGAAAGAGCUCACUGACACACUGGAGAACAAUCUUUUAGGGGAGCUUGCUGUGUGUCAACCUAAACUCAACUUUAACAAAAGGAACUUUGAAUGAGUGUUUGAAGGAAUGGCUACACAAGGAAACCCAACACUUCUCAAUCAGAUCUACACCGAGCUCUACAUUCACAGAGGGUGGAAGUGGAGAGGGCAUUAAUGAACAUGAGGUGAGACAGAUCAAGACAGCAUCCAGGAGAUCAGCAACACAAGAGACACCGUUCAAAAUGCAAUGACAUCUUUGAACCCUUACCUGAGCAAGACAAACUAACAGAACUGUCCUGACAAAGGGAGUUGCUGGCAUUGGCAGAAGUUAAUUCUGGACUGGGCUGAAGGAAAAGCCAAUCAAGAUAUCCAGUUGAUAUUUUCACUUCCUUUUCAAGAGCUGAUUUAAAUAAAAAAAAUGGAAAUAAGAGUCCGCAAUCUCAGACUUCAACAACUAUAAUGUGCUGUUUGUAUUUGAUGGUCUGGUGUGAUGUUUCAAAGUCAACCUCAGUGGAUGUGCUGCUGACAAACCUCAUUCAGGGGAAUCUGCUUCCCUAUGCUUACAUCUGGAUAACCUCCCGACCAGCAGCUGCUAGUCACUUUGAAUUUGUACACCUGAGUUUUUCCCAGUGUACAUUGUGGAUCCUCCAGUAUGGCAGAGAGCAGCUUCACCCCUGAGUCUCCUGGGUGAUUGUAGCUCAGGUCCAGCUUUCUCACAUGAAGGUUUGGACCGCAGCGCUUCAACUAGAGAAGCACAGCCUUCCUUUGCGACUCCACAGAAGGACAAACUGCAAAUAAUAUGAAUUUCACUCCAAGUAGUUGGUUGGAAGUAGGCUAGAGUGUGAUCCGCCUCGAGCCACGUUGAGUGAAAAUCUAGUAACAAACUGUUUGAUGCUUAAAAUGUGAGUUUACUUUAGUAAUUUUAAUAUCAUAAACUGAUUUUACUAACCUGAGUGUCUGCAGUUUAGAUCCUCCAGUCCAGCAGAGCAGCUUCACUCCUAAAUUCUGGCAUGCAAUAUGUAUAUCAUAAUUGAUUGUUGCCCGGCCUUUGUUGGUCUGUAUGGGAAGACCUCAAUUGAAUAAUCCUCUCGUCUCGUUCUCAAAGCCCAUUGGAUGAGAAAGUCAGAAGUUUCUCCCCUCUGACCUCCUCGAAUGGGUUUUGAGGAGAUCUUCCCUCUGUGUUUCUCAACCACUGUCUUGCGUUCUGCUUUUACAUUGUGAACCAUGAUGCAGAACGCUGGAUAAAAUCUGGCCUAAGAAAAUGUGACUUGAUUUCUCUUGAAAGCUGCAAACACAUGAUUCAGUGAGAAUACUUGAAAAUGUUUAUUUGUUGGAUAGAAAGAUUAAAAGGACAGUAAAUUAAACAAAAUACUAAUAAUCGUGUCCUUCCAUUAGAUGCCUGUGAGCCAACACUGGACGCAAACACGGCACACAGAAAACUGUCAGAGGGGAACAUGGGGGAGAGAAGAGCAGCCGUAUCCUGAUCACCCAGAGAGAUGUGAGGGCUGUUGGCAGGUGCUGUGUAAAGAGGGUCUGAAUAGGCGCAGUUAUUGGGAGUCGGAUCGAAGAGGAAAUUGGAGUGACAGAGAAACAUCGGCAGGAGUGGAGAGUGACUGUUGGCUUCGACGUAAUGACAAGUCCUGGAGUUUGCGAUGCUUUGACAACAGUUACAUCGCCUUCCAUAAUGCUAGGAGUAUUGCUUUACCUGCUCCCUCGUCUUAUUCGAACAGAGUAGGAGUGUAUCUGGCCUGGCUGGCACUCUGUCCUUCUACAGUGUCUCCUCUGGUACACUGAACAAUUUGCAUACAGUCUACUUCACAUUUUCUAACCCUCUUUACCCAGGGUUUAGGGUUGGGAAUGAUAGUGUGCCUGUGUCAGGUAGAGCAGCCUCCAAUUUGAAACUCAGGCCAGAAUUCCAUCUAGUUGAUUUUGGCAUUGCGGUGUUAGAAGUAUGUUCACGUUGCAGUGCAACGGUUUCGCUCCAGACUUGAUACUCGAUUUAGAACCUGGUUUUAGUGGAAGCCCUGGUAGGAUGUCGAGUUACCCACCCUCCCUUCUAGUUUUACCUUGAUAAUUCAUUGCAGUCACACAGAUUUUAAAUCUGUGACACACUGCUGUGCAAAUCAAACACAAUUUCGGUGACCUUAAAUAAAAUGGGAUUUAUUUAUUUUUCUACUCUGCUUCACCUACAGCAAACAACAUUUUUGGUUUAGUUGAAUUUAGGAGUUAAGCAUCCUGAGUGAGAGAAAGUUUGUUUUAUCUGGAAUAAAAAUCUUAAGAUUUGUCCAGAUCACAGCCUUAAACACCACUUGUAAUUUAGGAAAUAUGUGUUGAACAUUAAUGUAGGCUAAUUGAGUUAUAAAUCACAUACUAUAGCCAGAUCUCCAGGCCAUUGAACUCCUGUUACCUGGUCUCAGAGCCACAAACCAUUUUAUGUAGUGAAAGUGUCUGGAUGAAAAUGCUGUUGAGGAGAAUGUGACCGUUUUGGCUGAGAGACCACUGAAAAUGUUAUCCCGCUAGAUAGUGAUGCGAUAAAUACAUGUAAGUAACUACUACCGUCCCAAGAUGAGUGGCGGUUCUGACAGCAGCACUAGCUAUUAUGCAUCCUCAUCGGAUAAAGAGUACUUCCCCUAAAUUUGGGUAGGAAAAAUGUACUUUACUUGCCUAUAUACUAUACAGAGCGGGGAAAAAAAAAAAAGUAUGGCAUGCCCCAGAUAUUCUGUAUUUCACACAAUAUUCCUACAGUAAAAUCAGAAUCAAUACUCAGUCUGCCUGUACUUUAAUAUAUUCUUUAUUUUCUUAAACAAAAUUGAAGUAAAAACCUUUAUGUAGAAAGACAAAUUCCCUGUCAGUAGCGUUCCACCUAAGGUUCUUGAUUUAGGGCCUCCAGUAGACUCCCGUCUAUUGGGUUGUUCUCUUCUACUGUGUGAGUCAACGUAAGAAUAUUACACCAGAGUCAGUACCAUCUCUAACUCCCUACUAGCUCAUGAAUUAACUCACUAACUUGUGAAUUAACUCAUGCAGACUUUCGAGAAACACAGUGGGAAGAAUGUUAACAGCAAAUAGUGUUAAAAGAAAGUUAAAAA